AGUAACAACCAUACAUCAACAAAGUGUAUUGAUACAUCAACUAUAAUUCAAAAUAUGAACUUAGUGUAUUGUUCAACUAUACUAAAUUUAUCAGCUAUAAUCCUAGUGUUAUCUUCAUCCCCAUCAUCAUCAUAGCCCUCAUUAAUUCUUAUUCAAUUAAGUAGGUGGUGCUGCUGUAUCUCAAAGCUUGUUUAUGUGAAGAAAUGGUUGUUGUUGUUGAUGAAGUAAAGGCAUCACCUGCACAUAGAGCAAGGAUCUCAUCAGGUUAUAAAAUUGGAACUUACUCUGUACAGAAACCAUUCAUCAUUAUUGUGUCCAUUGAUUCAAACAAUGGGUUCAUGAAUUGAUCCUCUGUCCCAGGCUUCUCUGCCUCCUUAAUUUCAGGUUCAACAAGUAUGGAAGACUCAUGAUGAUCUUGUUCUUGCUCUUGCUCGAGCUCUUGAAGUGGAGGUUCAU